CUCUUUCUUGAUUUCGUGGGUGGUGGUGCAUGGCCGUUCUUAGUUGGUGGAGUGAUUUGUCUGCUUAAUUGCGAUAACGAACGAGACCUUAACCUGCUAAAUAGCCCGUAUUGCUUUGGCAGUACGCCGGCUUCUUAGAGGGACUAUCGGCUCAAGCCGAUGGAAGUUUGAGGCAAUAACAGGUCUGUGAUGCCCUUAGAUGUUCUGGGCCGCACGCGCGCUACACUGACAGAGCCAGCGAGUACUCCCUUGGCCGGAAGGCCCGGGUAAUCUUGUUAAACUCUGUCGUGCUGGGGAUAGUCCUUUGCAAUUAUUGGACUUCAACGAGGAAUUCCUAGUAAGCGUGAGUCAUCAGCUCGCGUUGAUUACGUCCCUGCCCUUUGUACACACCGCCCGUCGCUACUACCGAUUGAAUGGCUCAGUGAGGCUUUCGGACUGGCCCAGAGAGGUCGGCAACGNCCACUCAGGGCCGGAAAGUUAUCCAAACUCGGUCAUUUAGAGGAAGUAAAAG
rnacentral:rRNA from 1 species